rnacentral:rRNA from 1 species
GGCGAACGCUGGCGGCGUGCUUAACACAUGCAAGUCGAACGGAAAGGCCCUGCUUUUGUGGGGUGCUCGAGUGGCGAACGGGCGAGUAACACGUGAGUAACCUGCCCUUGACUUUGGGAUAACUUCAGGAAACUGGGGCUAAUACCGGAUAGGAGCUCCUGCUGCAUGGUGGGGGUUGGAAAGUUUCGGCGGUUGGGGAUGGACUCGCGGCUUAUCAGCUUGUUGGUGGGGUAGUGGCUUACCAAGGCUUUGACGGGUAGCCGGCCUGAGAGGGUGACCGGCCACAUUGGGACUGAGAUACGGCCCAGACUCCUACGGGAGGCAGCAGUGGGGAAUAUUGCACAAUGGGCGGAAGCCUGAUGCAGCAACGCCGCGUGCGGGAUGACGGCCUUCGGGUUGUAAACCGCUUUCGCCUGUGACGAAGCGUGAGUGACGGUAAUGGGUAAAGAAGCACCGGCUAACUACGUG